AUACUUUUUCUGGCGCCCCCAAGUGGUUAUUUGCAUAUUGUGUCUCCAGCGUUCGUAUGGUUUUGUGUUCUAGAGUUUUCUAUUUUCCUUUUUAACUUUUUAUCUUUGAGAAUCUGACACAGAAGAAAACAAACUGUCUCGCUACCAGCGUAAUAUUUACCUCUUAUUUCGAAAACCGCUCCAUCGGAGUAUCUCACUUGCCUCUCACAACGAUGCAGGAAGACCGACAGUAACAAAACUUCAGAAUAUCGAAGCCUAACCCACAGUGAUAAAUAUCUGUAUCCUGGUGAAGGAACACCUGUGACCUGUGACCCUCUGCAAGGGACAUUCUUCCCUUGUAGGUUUCUGUGAAGCAGAAGUGGGGUCCAGGGAGGCAGAGGAUCUUAAGGAGCAUUUUCUCCCCGUCACAGUGAAUGAAGAAGCCUGGUGACAUGUACUUCUACAGUCAACCUCUCUCUAAGGACCCCCAUUAUUCUUGUUACCCCAAUUUGGUGCCCAGAAAUAUCAUAGACACUAGAACUCUAAUUUUCAAUAUUUUCUAGCAAAAAAUGCAACCCUUCUGAAUUAAGCCAUCCUGGCAAUAGAAAUGUCAAUGAAAUUGAUUCAGCUUCAGGCAAA